rnacentral:rRNA from 1 species
UUGACCUCGGAUCAGGUAGGACUACCCGCUGAACUUAAGCAUAUCAAUAAGCGGAGGAAAAGAAACCAACAGGGAUUGCCCCAGUAACGGCGAGUGAAGCGGCAACAGCUCAAAUUUGAAUCUGGCCCCCAGGGCCCGAGUUGUAAUCUGGAGAAGAUGCUUCUGGCGCGGCGCCUUCCGAGUUCCCUGGAACGGGACGCCGGAGAAGGUGAGAGCCCCGUACGGUUGGACGCCUAGCCUUUGUGAAGCUCCUUCGACGAGUCGAGUAGUUUGGGAAUCCUGCUCAAAAUGGGAGGUAAAUUUCUUCUAAAGCUAAAUACCGGCCAGAGACCGAUAGCGCACAAGUAGAGUGAUCGAAAGAUGAAAAGCACUUUGAAAAGAGGGUCAAACAGUACGUGAAAUUGUUGAAAGGGAAG